rnacentral:rRNA from 1 species
GGGCCCGCACAAGCGGUGGAGUAUGUGGUUUAAUUCGAUGCAACGCGAAGAACCUUACCAGGGUUUGACAUACACAGAAUCUUGUAGAGAUACGAGAGUGCCUUCGGGAAUUGUGAUACAGGUGCUGCAUGGCUGUCGUCAGCUCGUGUCGUGAGAUGUUGGGUUAAGUCCCGCAACGAGCGCAACCCUUGUCCUUAGUUACCAGCGGGUUAAGCCGGGAACUCUAAGGAUACUGCCAGUGACAAACUGGAGGAAGGCGGGGACGACGUCAAGUCAUCAUGGCCCUUACGACCAGGGCUACACACGUGCUACAAUGGUAGGUACAGAGGGCAGCUACACAGCGAUGUGAUGCGAAUCUCAAAAAGCCUAUCGUAGUCCAGAUCGUAGGCUGCAACUCGCCUACGUGAAGGCGGAAUCGCUAGUAAUCG